rnacentral:tRNA from 1 species
GAGGAUAUUGCUCAAGGGUUAGAGCACAUGCUUAGCACGCACGAGGUCCUGGGUUCGAUCCCCAGUACCUCU